rnacentral:rRNA from 1 species
UACGUAGGGUGCAAGCGUUGUUCGGAUUUACUGGGCGUAAAGGGCGCGUAGGCGGUCAGCACAAGUCAGUUGUGAAAUCUCCGAGCUUAACUCGGAAAGGUCAACUGAUACUGUGCGACUAGAGUGCGGAAGGGGCAACUGGAAUUCUCGGUGUAGCGGUGAAAUGCGUAGAUAUCGAGAGGAACACCUGCGGCGAAGGCGGGUUGCUGGGCCGACACUGACGCUGAUGCGCGAAAGCCAGGGGAGCGAACGGG